rnacentral:rRNA from 1 species
GACGAACGCUGGCGGCGUGCUUAACACAUGCAAGUGGAACGGAAAGGCCCUGCUUUUGUGGGGUGCUCGAGUGGCGAACGGGUGAGUAACACGUGAGUAACCUGCCCUUGACUUUGGGAUAACUUCAGGAAACUGGGGCUAAUACCGGAUAGGAGCUCCUGCUGCAUGGGGGUGGUUGGAAAUUUUCGGCGGUUGGGGAUGGACUCGCGGCUUAUCAGCUUGUUGGUGGGGUAGUGGCUUACCAAGGCUUUGACGGGUAGCCGGCCUGAGAGGGUGACCGGCCACAUUGGGACUGAGAUACGGCCCAGACUCCUACGGGAGGCAGCAGUGGGGAAUAUUGCACAAUGGGCGGAAGCCUGAUGCAGCAACGCCGCGUGCGGGAUGACGGCCUUCGGGUUGUAAACCGCUUUCGCCUGUGACGAAGCGUGAGUGACGGUAAUGGGUAAAGAAGCACCGGCUAACUACGUG